rnacentral:rRNA from 1 species
UGAGGAAUAUUGGUCAAUGGACGGAGGUCUGAACCAGCCAAGUAGCGUGCAGGAUGACGGCCCUAUGGGUUGUAAACUGCUUUUGUAUGGGGAUAAAGUUAGGGACGUGUCCCUAUUUGCAGGUACCAUACGAAUAAGGACCGGCUAAUUCCGUGCCAGCAGCCGCGGUAAUACGGAAGGUCCAGGCGUUAUCCGGAUUUAUUGGGUUUAAAGGGAGCGUAGGCUGGAGAUUAAGUGUGUUGUGAAAUGUAGACGCUCAACGUCUGAAUUGCAGCGCAUACUGGUUUCCUUGAGUACGCACAACGUUGGCGGAAUUCGUCGUGUAGCGAUGAAAUGCUUAGAUAUGACGAAGAACUCCGAUUGCGAAGGCAGCUGACGGGAGCGCAACUGACGCUUAAGCUCGAAGGUGCGGGUAUCAAACAGG